GUUACCGGCCGGUUGGGCAGCAGCAUAGGAACCGGAAGCAUUUGCAUCUGUGGUCGAGUGCAGGCUGGAUGUGGAAUUGGGUCUUUCUUUUUCUGAAUAUGUAGCCUGGGAUCUUAUUUUCUUUCCUUCUUCUUCCUCGCCAUCAGUCUCCUCAUCAAAGUUCAGACUAUCUGAGAUACUAUUGUUUUUGGAAAAUCUUCUGAAGAUCUGGCUUGGAAGCAGUAUCCAAGGUGUUUUCCCCAUCAACACUCUCUUCAGCAUUUUCUCCCAGAACAGGGGAGCUGACUGAAAGAACAUGAACUUUGGUUUCCAAAUCUUGAGCAUCUGGCUUCAUGACUGCAGCCGGACCAUCAAUGCCAUGAAGACGACAUUGCUGUGGGGGGUAUGAGAGUCCAUCAAAGGAGUCUGCUCCUCAUUGGCCUUUGGCUUCACCCAACUUAGCCUGACUUCUGGAUUUGGCUGCACCAUGAAUGGCUGAAGGUGCUUUUUUCUCUGCUUCUUCUUAAGCAGUGCUCUCUGAUUAUCCAGUGCCAGCUGUUAAAGUUUCAUCGUCUCAUCGUGAAAGACACUGUCCCCACUGGAACCAAGCCGGCAGCAACUGGCAUUCAUGCCUGCUGCUGUUUAAGUGGCAGCCAUGUCCCCACUCCUAGCCACCCAUGGCUCUAAACUACUUUUAAGAGCUUGUUGGCCAGGCGUGGUGGCUCACACCUGUAAUCCCAGCGCUUAGGGAGGCCAAGGCGGAUAGAUCAGGAGGUCAGGAGAUCGAGACCAUCCUGGCCAACAUGGUGAAAACCCAUACCUACUAAAAAUACAAAAAUUAGCUGGAUGUGGUAGUGUGCGCCUGUAGUCACAAUUACUCAGGAAGCUGAGGCAGGAGAAUCACUUGAACCUGGGAGGUGGAGGUUACAGUGAGCUGAGAUCGUACCAUUGCACUUCAGCCUAGCGACAGAGUGAGACUCCGUCUUAAAAAACAAAAGAGCUUGUUUGGAGAGUGUAUCAUGGGGGUGCAGCUACUCCUAUACCUUUGCUCAAAGACUGGUCCUCUUCUCUGGGGGACGACCUCUUCCACGGAGCGUGCACUUAGGGAGGGACAGGAGGGAUGCACAUAGAGCGGUGAGCGAAGAAGAGCACACACGCCUAGCCAGCCAGGUCAGCCGAAUCAACCCUGGCGAUCAAUAGGGUAACAGACGUCUCAGCCAGAUCACCCUCAUAUCCUAAAGCACUCUUAAUUAAUUUUUUACAAAUAAUAAAAUGCUUUCAUCCUC
ensembl:lncRNA novel transcript